rnacentral:lncRNA from 1 species
GUAAGUCCUCAGAAAACGGAUAUAUUGUUUGAUUGAGUUUAAUAGGUUAAUUGAUUUAUUUACAUUUCUCUAAGAAAACACAGUUAUCAGAUGUAAACAAGUGGUGAUAGCAGGAGUUCUGUCCUUCAGACCUGGUUAUCAGUGCAUUACAGUGGGUUACAAUGCAACUCCACUCUAAUCCUCUGCGGUGAACUCUAAAGUUCACAGAAACAGUCAAAGUGUGAGCAACCACCCCAGUACAGCAAAGAGAGACCCCCUGUCUCUACCCCUCUACACAGAACCCCCCAAACACUAGGGAGUCCUCAGACAGAGAGAGAGAGAGAGAGAGAGCAAAAGCAGGGGAGAAAAGAACAAAGCCUUACAAAUCAAGAUAAAUCUCAAGUGCUGAGGGAUUCAUGAGAUUUUUAUUGUUUUUUAAAGUGUGUGGGGGGGGAAAUCCUUUGCAUUUUAAUGAAAAUUUUGAAUGGAAUGUAAAUAAAGGAAAGAAUACAGAAUUACGUAAACAAAAAAGCAACACAACAACUUCAUCGUUGGGUUUUGAUGGAAUUUUUAACAAGGCUGACAGCGAUUGUCACACUGAUGGUGUGAAGCAGUCACACGCUCACCUUAGCCAGAGUGAUGAGAAGGCAUUAUGACUUGGGCUUAAGUCCAGGUGAAAAGCAAUGGGUCCCUUGAAGAAUAGAUGAUGUUUUCAUAAGCCAAUCUAGGACUAUAUGAUUGGUUGAACACUUAGAUGUGUCUGGAGCAAUUCUAAUUGGCUGUUCAAGGACCAUCUGAUGGUGCUAUUGACCACUUUACUGAGUGAUAGCUUAGGCUGGUAAACAUGUCUUAUUCAUACUUCUAAAAAGCUGCUUAAAUGAAAGCAUCUAUCCACACAGACAAGUGGACAGGGAAACAGAGGGAGAUGGGCACGAAGAGAGAUGGGGAGGUGGAGAGAUGGGGAGGAAGAGAGAUGGGGAGGAAGAGAGAUGGGGAGGAAGAGAGAUGGGGAGGUAGAGAGAUGGGGAGGUAGAGAGAUGGGGAGGUGGAGAGAUAGGUGACAGAGACAGAUAUCUAGUAAGGGUAAUAAUGGGGUAAUAGCUCAAGCGGACACGACAAACACUCUCCAGUGUGACCUUUCAGGUGUGUGUGUGUGUUGGAAGGACAGGGGACUAGAUAACUCUGGAGAAGGCUGAGCCUCAAUGGUUGAGUGACCUCAUACAUCACCCUGGGACUCUGCUGGUCUCACAGUGAAAUUAGGGAUUUUGUCCCCCCGGCGCGCGUAAACACUUGCACACACGUGUGCGGAAAUACACACACGCAUACAUGUGCAUACACACACACGAUACGCACCCACAUGAUAUGAACACACACACACACACCUCAGCUUGAGAAGGACAUGCUACUGUGGGUUACUGUCUGUUACCAUGACACUUCCUGUCUGGAGUCCAUCCAGCCUCUCUUACACAACCAGACUAUCAAUCAGGGAGCCUUUCCUACACACUUCCACUAGAGCCAUGAAUACACACACACACAGACACAAACACCUGUAUAUGGGCAAUAUUUUCAAUUUCCCCCCUUUAAUUCUGUACCAUACAGCAUGUACUGUACUGUAAGUGCACCAGCUAUCUGACAAGAAUCUGGAGAUGUAACAGAACAUCCUUAUACUUCUAGUAUCUCAAGGAAACUUGCUGAUUAGCAGAAUAAUUAUCUUAUUAGCAAAGUCACUUAACAAGUGAUAAAAUACAUGAGUCAUUUAGAAGAGUUCCAUCUGAUACUACGUCCAAAAAGCAACGAAAAAUCAUAUUAGACUAAUCAGCACUAAUCCGAAAUGACAAUGGCAGAACCUGAGACCUAACAAACAAUGAAGAGAGAGAGGGAGAGAAGACAAUGACAAAUAGAGGAUGAAAAAGGAAGCAAGAAAUGAAGAAAAGUGAGAGAGGAAAGGAUGACAGAAAACUGAAAAGAUGAGCAGGAUGGAAUGAUGGGUAAAUGGAGGACAUUUAAAAGGAUAAUAAAGUGAAGGAGCAUAGAAAAGAUAAUACAGAAUGUUCUUUGUCCGGGCCUGUUGAAAGGAAGACAGAAAGUCUCCAGCGCUGGUACACGGUGUGAGAGGGAUGAAUAUAGCUAGUCUGCUCACCAGAGCAAACAAACACGCUCAGAAAAACAUGAACAACAGGUGAUAAUGUUAGCACUACUGGACUGUGAUUAAUCAAUGACAGCAAUCUACUAAUUACAGCCUCCAAUCAAUUACCUCCACACUCAUUACCCAGUCAACACGUCUCUAUAUCCUCCACACUCAUUAACCACUCAACACAACACGUCUCUAUAUCCUCCAUAGCAUUAACCAGUCAACACAAUACAUCUAUAUAUCCUCCAUAGCAUUAACCAGUCAACACAAUACAUCUAUAUAUCCUCCAUAGCAUUAACCAGUCAACAC